rnacentral:rRNA from 1 species
AAAGGAAUAGACGGGGGCUCACACAAGCGGUGGAGGAUGUUGUUUAAUUCGAAGCAACGCGAAGAACCUUACCCGGGUUUGACAUGCUAGUUACAAUCCUGAAAGGGUGCGGAUCUCCUUAACCGGAGACGCUAGCACAGGUGCUGCAUGGCUGUCGUCAGCUCGUGUCGUGAGAUGUUAGGUUAAGUCCUGUAACGAGCGAAACCCCUGUCGUUAGUUGCUACCAGGUAAUGCUGGGCACUCUAGCGAUACUGCCGGUGUUAAACCGGAGGAAGGCGGGGACGACGUCAAGUCAUCAUGGUCCUUACGUCCGGGGCGACAAACGUCCUACAAUGGCAUGUACAAUGAGAUGCAAAACCGCGAGGUCGAGCAAAUCUUCAAAGCAUGCCUCAGUUCAGAUUGGAGGCUGAAACCCGCCUCCAUGAAGGUGGAAUCGCUAGUAACCGGAGAUCAGCCAUGCUCCGGUGAAUAUGUUCCUGAGCCUUGUACACACCGCCCGU